rnacentral:rRNA from 1 species
UAGAUACCCUGGUAGUCCACGCCGUAAACGAUGUCGACUUGGAGGUUGUUCCCUUGAGGAGUGGCUUCCGGAGCUAACGCGUUAAGUCGACCGCCUGGGGAGUACGGCCGCAAGGUUAAAACUCAAAUGAAUUGACGGGGGCCCGCACAAGCGGUGGAGCAUGUGGUUUAAUUCGAUGCAACGCGAAGAACCUUACCUACUCUUGACAUCCAGAGAACUUAGCAGAGAUGCUUUGGUGCCUUCGGGAACUCUGAGACAGGUGCUGCAUGGCUGUCGUCAGCUCGUGUUGUGAAAUGUUGGGUUAAGUCCCGCAACGAGCGCAACCCUUAUCCUUUGUUGCCAGCGAUUCGGUCGGGAACUCAAAGGAGACUGCCGGUGAUAAACCGGAGGAAGGUGGGGAUGACGUCAAGUCAUCAUGGCCCUUACGAGUAGGGCUACACACGUGCUACAAUGGCGCAUACAAAGAGAAGCGACCUCGCGAGAGCAAGCGGACCUCACAAAGUGCGUCGUAGUCCGGAUCGGAGUCUGCAACUCGACUCCGUGAAGUCGGAAUCGCUAGUAAUCGUGGAUCAGAAUGCCACGGUGAAUACGUUCCCGGGCCUUGUACACACCGCCCGUCACACCAUGGGAGUGGGUUG